rfam:Salmo salar isolate Sally breed double haploid chromosome ssa09, whole genome shotgun sequence.
UCCCGUGUGGCUCAGUUGGUAGAGCAUGGUGUUUGUAACGCCAGGGUUGUGGGUUCGAUUCCCACAGGGGAC